GAAUGUUAAUUAAUGUGAUAUCUUCUGUUUUCCCAUUUCCUUUAAAUUCAAAAUAACUUGAUAUAUUUUUGUUAUCUUUGCUUGCUAAUAUAAUUAACAGUUUUUGGUUUCCUCUGUUUUGCUUUCUUCUUCUACGUUGCUGCACUGCACUGCGCCCUGAAGAAGAAGCGAGUUUGGUGUUGUCAAUGAGCUGCAUAUGUGUGGGAGGAAGUUCAAUCCAUGUGACUUUAUCGACUUCGUGGAAGCCAUCUCGUGCAAAAGGAUGUGCUAUUGGGCUUCUUAUGGGUGAUAAGGUAACAAGUCUGUGGGAGAAUCACCAUGUCAAAUGAAACCCAACAUGCUCUGCCAAUUGCCCUCAAUAAACUUUUUCAGACUCACAAAGUUUGCAGAAAUGAGGGGGCUAAAAUUGCUGUGGAUGUAGCUCACAGUCUUGAUGGUCCACAUAAUGAGUUGAAGGCUAGCUGUCUUAAGUGAAGUUGCACGCGAAAUCCAUGGUUAUUAUGUGUUGAGAUCAUCACUGAAUGAUCCAUUCAGAGAUAUUGUAAUUGAUUUGCUUCGUGGAAGUGGACCCAAAGCCAAGCUGAAGAAGGCUGAGAUACUUGAACAUACUUGAACCUGCAAGGAAAAAACACAGUAGAGAGGUCACUAAAAAUGAAUAUAACAAGGCAAUUUGACCUUUUUCAUGAGGUGACUAUGGUUUGCUCAUUCCUUUUGUUAUUAAUCAAGGCUCAUGCACAGGUUUGCUCAGCAUUUUGAUAAAACAUUAGCAAAGCACCAAAGAAUGAUCAUAAGCACAGCCAAGUCCCAGAACAUAUUGAGAGGAAGCGACGUACCUUUUCAGAUGCAAGCACGUGGCUCUAGCCAAAUGAACCAUAUGGCUGCAAAAAUUGCACAUUGUCUGUUUUUUUGCUUCCUUAUUGCCAAAGUCUUUAUGAAAUGUAACUAGCAGAGAAACUCAUCUAGAGUAAGAUACCCUCACCUAAGUCUAACCAAAAUUCCCCAAAUUACGUGUUCCAUAAGAAAGCACAGCUAUUAAACGUCCAAUAUAUUAUGAACUGGCUAGAACAAUACACGAUGUACAAAUUACAAAAUAGGCUGGGGCCUACAAAUUACAAAGUAUUUUCUUCUCCUAUAAAUACUUAUUGAGAUAUAGAUAGGAGCAGCCAUGAUAAUAGAGUUCUGACGCUAGAAGCAAUAGAUUAUUAUCAGUGAUCAACUCAUCAUUAGAAGCAAUGAAAAGCUCUCAAUGUUACAUAUGCCCUGUUAGGAUGAACUUUUGAUGAGUGGAUCACUGACAAAUAAUAUAUUGCAUAUUUGCAGUUGAAGAUGUUGAGCUUUUUUGUUUCUGGAUACUUAACUUAUGGGCUCUUGAUAGUUUUACAGUUUACAUCAAGAAUCUCUGUGCUGUUUACAUCAAUAUGACUCUCCGUUGUUAGUAA